rnacentral:ncRNA from 1 species
AUUCCAUGCAAGUCUAAGUACGAGCUCUCGUACAGUGAAACUGCGAAUGGCUCAUUAAAUCAGUUAUGGUUCAUUUGAUCGUACAGUUUACUUGGAUAACUGUGGUAAUUCUAGAGCUAAUACAUGCGAGAAGCGCCGACCUCGCGGGAGGCGUGCAUUUAUCAGACCAAAAACCGGCCGCGUCUUCGGGCGCGUUCGCCUUGGUGACUCUGGAUAACUUUGCGGAUCGCACGGUCUAGCACCGGCGACGGAUCAUUCAAGUGUCUGCCCUAUCAACUUUCGUCGGUACGGUAUUUGCCUACCGAGGUUCUUACGGGUGACGGGGAAUCAGGGUUUGAUUCCGGAGAGGGAGCCUGAGAAACGGCUACCACAUCCAAGGAAGGCAGCAGGCGCGCAAAUUACCCAUUCCCGACGCGGGGAGGUAGUGACGAAAAAUAACAAUGCAGGACUCGUUCGAGGCCCUGUAAUUGGAAUGAGUACACUUUAAAAGCUUUAACGAGUAUCCAUUGGAGGGCAAGUCUGGUGCCAGCAGCCGCGGUAAUUCCAGCUCCAAAAGUAUAUAUUUAAGUUGUUGCGGUUAAAAAGCUCGUAGUUGGAUUUUGGGCGCAGGCGGCCGGUCCGUCGCAAGGCGUGUACUGGACGUCCUGGCCUUCCCUCCGGUUCUCCGCCGGUGCUCUUGACUGAGUGUCGGCGGCGGCCGGAACGUUUACUUUGAAAAAAUUAGAGUGUUCAAAGCAGGCUCUCGAGCCUGGAUAAUGGUGCAUGGAAUAAUGGAAUAGGACCUCGGUUCUAUUUUGUUGGU